rnacentral:rRNA from 1 species
UGGGGAAUCUUGCGCAAUGGCCUAACGGCUGACGCAGCGACGCCGCGUGAGGGAUGACGGCCUUCGGGUUGUAAACCUCUGUUGCCCGGGACGAACAGCCUUAUUCGUAAGGUCUGACGGUACCGGGUGAGGAAGCACCGGCUAACUCCGUGCCAGCAGCCGCGGUAAUACGGAGGGUGCGAGCGUUGUCCGGAAUCACUGGGCGUAAAGGGCGCGUAGGCGGUCGGGUAAGCGUGUGGUGAAAGUCCGGGGCUCAACCCCGGAUCGGCCGUGCGAACUGCUCGACUUGAGCACUGUAGAGGCAGGUGGAAUUCCGGGUGUAGCGGUGGAAUGCGUAGAGAUCCGGAAGAACACCGGUGGCGAAGGCGGCCUGCUGGGCAGUGGCUGACGCUGAGGCGCGACAGCGUGGGGAGCAAACAGG